rfam:Larimichthys crocea isolate SSNF unplaced genomic scaffold scaffold96, whole genome shotgun sequence.
UUAGCGACUGAUUGUCCAAACGCAAUUCUUGAGUAAACUCAAAUGCAACCCCAAGAAUUGUGUAUGGACAUCUGUUGCUGC